UUAAUUAAAAACCCACGAAGCGAAGAAACUGUCAUUCAAGUUCCCAGUCACUUGGAGCUAUAUUUGGUUAUCCCCUCAAUCCUUCUCUUCACAUCGUUCUUUUUUUCUAGGAUGCAAAAGAUUAUUCACUGAUCUCUCUUUAUAAAUUUGGUAUGAAUUGAGUGGUCUUGUAGUUGCAUUUGGCUCUUUUGCGAUACUAUCACGAUCUCUCAAGCUCUCAAGCUCUCAGCCCUCUCACUGUCUCUUUCUCUCAGUGAGUUUGAUUUGGAUUGUCUCUCUCUCUCUCUCUCUCUCUCAGGUUGGAAUCUCGGUUUCAGACUAUAUAUAUCUCGAUUCUGGUAUUUUUUGUGCCUCUUGAUUCUGGUAUGGCAGUUUCCUAGGGUUUCUUUCUACGAAUUUUCUUGGUGUUAUUUCAUCAUUUUUCUGCAAAUUCCAACCCUAUCUAUUCUCCAUAAGUUCUCUCGUUGUUUAGGGUUUUUUCUAUGUUUUACUUCAUCACUAAUUGCUAAUAUUGUUGGAGGAUUUUUUGUAAUUGGAGCUGACUUUUUUUUUUUUGGUCAUUUGUGAUCACUGAUGAUUUAUAAUGUAAUUGUUGUUUUGGGAUUUUAAAAGUAUGUUGAGGAGGUGCGUUGAUGUGCCAUCAAUGUCACAUGAACAACAAGGAUUGGGUAGUUCGCUGUAAAGAGUGUAAGAGGAAACGAUUUUGUAUUCCUUGAAUACAGAUCUGCUAUAUAUUGCUUUAAUAUUUCUAAUUAUAACUUAUUAACGAUCGAUGUUGGGUUAGUAGAAUCCAGUAAAUGAUAUUUGAUUUGGUUUCAAAAGGAGAAAGGGGUUACGGUUUACCUUCUUAUCUGGUUGGUGAUAGAAUAAUGUGCAUUUGGUCUUGAAAACUUCUUGAAUGGAGUUAAGAUUUUAUAUUUAACAAUCUAAUGAAAACUUAUCACUUUAUCUCUCUUUGCUUGUCACUUUAAUCUUUUGGUUAUUUUGUCCAGUAUUGGGUACUAUGUGUAUGCCUCAAUGAGAAACCUGGCAAUACUAUCUUGUAGAGGCUUUAAUCUGCAUCUGCAGAGAGGCUAGGUUUUGUUAGUGAAGCUUCUAUAUGUAUGAACUGAAACAACACUUGUUUAAAUUUUGGCUAGUGUUUGUUAGUCGGCCUAGUGUGGUGUAUUGCUUUUGUCUCCAAUAAUGAAUUAAUCAAGUUCACUUUUUUCACUUGAUAUAUGUGUAAAAUAAGCAGGGGAUUGACAAUUUGACAUAAAUCGAACAGGACAAGAUUAUAAAAAUUGGGACAUUGAAGUGUUUCCUUAAAUGUUUGGCAGAUUGAAGUUUGGAGACGGUUUGAUGCUAGAAGGUACCUGCAAAUUUGAAUUAUGAUUGGCUUGCUGGAGAUGUGUGUCUUCUUGAAGAAACGAUUGCAAGGAAGAUGAAUAUCAUUGGAGGAUCAAUGUUGGAACUAGGACUUGAGUUUUGUUUUGGAGUGUGAAACAAAGUCUAUACAUGUUUUGGUACAUGAAUGUAAAGUAUAACUCAGUGAUUUUGUGUAAAUGUGCAAUUUUGUAAAUAAAUAUCUUUAUUAUAUAUAUAUUUAUUUAUUUAUUAAAUAAAUUUUUUUUUA